AAUAGAUACCCUGGUAGUCCACGCCCUAAACGAUGGAUGCUAGGUUUGCGGGGUAUCGACCCCCUGUGAGCCGUAGGUAACCCGUUAAGCAUCCCGCCUGGGGACUACGACCGCAAGGUUAAAACUCAAAGGAAUUGACGGGGGCCCGCACAAGCAGCGGAGCGUGUGGUUUAAUUCGAUGCUAAGCGAAGAACCUUACCAGGGCUUGACAUGUAAGUGGUACUGAACCGAAAGGCAAGGGACCCGCAAGGGAGCUUACACAGGUGCUGCAUGGUUGUCGUCAGCUCGUGCCGUGAGGUGUUGGGUUAAGUCCCGCAACGAGCGCAACCCUUGUCGCUAGUUAAAUUCUCUAGCGAGACUGCCCCUAAAAGGGAGGAAGAGGGGAUGAUGUCAAAUCAUCAUGGCUCUUACGGUCCUGGGCUACACACACGCUACAAUGGCCAGUACAGACGGUUGCUAAAUCGCGAGAUGGAGCCAAUCCGACAAAGCUGGUCUCAGUUGGGAUUGCAGGCUGAAACCCGCUGCAUGAACUGG
rnacentral:rRNA from 1 species